ensembl:lncRNA
CCGGAGCUCCGCUGGCCCACACACCGGGUCGCCGGCUCCUUCCCGCCGCGCCCCGCUCCCCCGCCCGAGCUUCCAGCCGCCAGGCUCGCCAAGUCCGGCCGCGGCCGCCGGUUACCGCCCCCAGCCCGGGGGGAGCCCGGGGGGCAGGACGGGGAGGGAGGACGUGGCGCGCUCGGAGGUGGCCAGCGGCGGGGCGGGGAGUGUCCCGGAGAGGCCCAGCCGGGGGCGAGGGGGACAGGCCGGCGCGGGCUCGGGACCCUCCCCGCGAGCAUCCCCGAGUUCGAGGCCCCCGACCGCCCCCGCCGGCGUGGAAAGGCGGCCCCAACUUCCAGCCCCACUUCGCACACCCGCCCUCUUCCCUCCACCAUAUGGAAAUCUACAGCCUCAGAAAGUGACACGUCGAAGAUUCCUCGGCCUCGCCGCCCUCCCUCCCCCUCCUGGGCAGUGUUCCUGCCGCGGAGAUUCCGGGAGGGGGAGCGGAUUCCUCGGACAAAAUCUGCUAGGAAGGCUGGGGGUGGGGGGAGGCCGCGAGCCACUGCCCAGAUUUUCUUUUUUUUUUUUUUUUGGAGGAAUCUACCGGUUUCUUUCACUCCUCCAAACCCUGAGGCAAGGGGCACAGGCGGGGAACCCGAGCCUAGCAAGGCGGGGGCCGCCCCCUCCCGGGUCCCGUGUUCCCGGGGUGCCCAGGCGAGCGCGGGGCGCCCCAGCACUCCGGCGCCAAGUUUUUGCCGGGAAGCCCAGGGCGCUCCCGGGACAGGGACGCACUUUGGCGGACUCCGCGUCAGGCCGGGGCUUUCCAGCGCACCGCGACCCGGCAAUCGAGCGCGGGGUCCCGCUCUCCUCCAGCCCCCGGCUCCUGCACGCCUUACCUUCCCUAGGGCUGAAACGCGGGGCUCCGGGCGCGCUACACACCGGGUCGCCCACGCCUUCCCAGCCGGCAGCCGGGAGGAUCCCUGCCGCCCCCUUCGCUGCUCCCGCCGCCGCCGCCGCCGCUCUCCUCCUCCAGCCGCCGCCGCCGUCGCUGCCGCCGCUCAAAUAACUACCAGGAGGGUUUGA